AUUGAACGCUGGCGGCAUGCUUUACACAUGCAAGUCGAACGGCAGCACGGGGGCAACCCUGGUGGCGAGUGGCGAACGGGUGAGUAAUAUAUCGGAACGUACCCGGAAAUGGGGGAUAACGUAGCGAAAGUUACGCUAAUACCGCAUAUGCCCUAAGGGGGAAAGCGGGGGAUUCGCAAGAACCUCGCGUUUUCGGAGCGGCCGAUAUCGGAUUAGCUAGUAGGUGAGGUAAAGGCUCACCUAGGCGACGAUCCGUAGCUGGUCUGAGAGGACGACCAGCCACACUGGAACUGAGACACGGUCCAGACUCCUACGGGAGGCAGCAGUGGGGAAUUUUGGACAAUGGGCGCAAGCCUGAUCCAGCCAUGCCGCGUGAGUGAAGAAGGCCUUCGGGUUGUAAAGC
rnacentral:rRNA from 1 species